rnacentral:rRNA from 1 species
CUUGCUUCUCUUGAGAGCGGCGGACGGGUGAGUAAUGCCUAGGAAUCUGCCUGGUAGUGGGGGAUAACGUCCGGAAACGGACGCUAAUACCGCAUACGUCCUACGGGAGAAAGCAGGGGACCUUCGGGCCUUGCGCUAUCAGAUGAGCCUAGGUCGGAUUAGCUAGUUGGUGGGGUAAUGGCUCACCAAGGCGACGAUCCGUAACUGGUCUGAGAGGAUGAUCAGUCACACUGGAACUGAGACACGGUCCAGACUCCUACGGGAGGCAGCAGUGGGGAAUAUUGGACAAUGGGCGAAAGCCUGAUCCAGCCAUGCCGCGUGUGUGAAGAAGGUCUUCGGAUUGUAAAGCACUUUAAGUUGGGAGGAAGGGCAGUAAAUUAAUACUUUGCUGUUUUGACGUUACCGACAGAAUAAGCACCGGCUAACUCUGUGCCAGCAGCCGCGGUAAUACAGAGGGUGCAAGCGUUAAUCGGAAUUACUGGGCGUAAAGCGCGCGUAGGUGGUUCGUUAAGUUGGAUGUGAAAUCCCCGGGCUCAACCUGGGAACUGCAUUCAAAACUGACGAGCUAGAGUAUGGUAGAGGGUGGUGGAAUUUCCUGUGUAGCGGUGAAAUGCGUAGAUAUAGGAAGGAACACC